rnacentral:lncRNA from 1 species
GUAUGAACAAACUUAAGAUAUCUACUUAAGAAAUUAAAGAUUUUGAUAUUUAUUUAUGAAAGAUUAAAGGGUAUAAGAGGAGAGAGAAAAAUAUUAACAUAUUAAUCUAUAUAAAAAUUAUUAACUUAUUACUUUUUUCCUAAUCUAUAAAAAUGAGGCUAGAUUAGGAAUAAUUUUUAAAAGAAGGUUAGAUAAGGAAUUUUUUUUUGUAAAAAGGCUAGACAAGUAAAUAGUUCCCUCUUUUCAUCGGAUGCGAAGAGGGCUACUAGAGUCCUAGCCUAUGCCUACAUUCCAAAACCCCGAAAAUGUAGGUGGAAUUACCUUAGGGACAGGUAGAAAUUCCGGAGAGAAUGUAGAGAGAAGAAGAAUUAUCUGGGAACGUAAAUAAAAAUUUUAGAGAGAACAUAGUAAGAAGAAGAAGGAAAGAGAUUCGCACGUUCUCAGAGAUACAAUAUCCGAGAAAAAGGGAUCGUAUUUAUAGAUUAUCGGGACCCCUUAAAAUAUUCUGAUUCUAACAUAGAGUUUAGGAUUCGAAGAAAUAUAUAAUUCGUCCCUAUACUUAAGUUAUUAGGAUAAAUCUCAAUCCACAUCUUAUAUAGAUCGGGUUAAUUAGAAUUGGCCAAUGUAGACACACCACAUGGCAACAAUAAAUAUAUUUAAUUUAA